AAACCUGCGGAUGAGGCGGAGGGACUGGCUUUGCCCGAGCAUCCGCGACAGGCUUCCAGGUGUCUGCGCAAACGAGGUCCGUGCCUACGAUCAGGAUGACACACACGGAGCUGGGAGUCACCUCCGGGCCCUGGUUUCGAGAGGGAGGGACUCACCUACUUGUGCGGGGAAACCACAGGCUUUGGGUGCUGUGGGGGCCCUGAAAGAAAAGCGCCACGGGGAACCAACGGGUCACUCCUACCCUGCCAGAAAUCUCCUGUUAGUCUGACUUCCACAGCGCCUUCACUCAGUGACUCUGUUGGUUAGAUAAGAAAUUUUGGCCCUUCAGGCCACAAAAGUUGAACUCGGCAUUGGAGAGACAUGAUUCCGGUGGCUGUAAGAGGGGAUAAAAGACCACAGAUCGGCCACCUUUGUAUCUACAGCACCAGAACGGAGGAGUAACAGCUCAAGGACACAAAUCUUUGCCACCAUCAUGAGCUAUAUUUCUAUUGACCCUGCCCGAAGUAUCAGCUGUUUCAGCCACCCAAGCAAACCCAGCGACUUCAACUAGCAGAAGAGAAACAAGGCUAUUUUGCUGUUCUGAAGCGGCAAACCAGCGCCGGCAGGAUUCUGCAACCAACACGCACGAAGUACAGCGUGUAUCAAUUCCCGUCCGAAGUGGAUCAGGGGCGCAACUUCCAUCGCCCAGCGCUCGACACAAACCCUCUCCCGCUGACACCGGCUCUGCCCCGAGCUAAGCGCUCCCGCCGCCGGCAGGGCCGGGAGCAGGGACACGGCCCUUCACUUUGGAAAAGGUGCCCGGGAUGGAACCAGAGGCGCCAGUUAGUUUUUUACAGCCCCGACCUUUCGCGUUUGAUUACCGAGCCGGUUUAAAUCGCCCUGCCCUCCCUAGCUGGGCCGGGCUCCACGUUGCUCCCCGUCGGAAGGGCGCCUGGUAUUUCAGCGACCCUUUGUGAACGCGAGGGCCUGGCGCUCGGGGAAUCUGGUCCGGGCUGAGACGUGCACGUACCGAGGAGGGAAAGGGAAGUGCACAUUCUGGAAUCUAAAUGCGAGACAGAAGACGAGUAAACAAACAAGGGGCUGAUCUGAUUACGCAGUCAAAUUUAUCAUGGACAAUAAAGAAAUCGCCUUUGAAUGUAAGGGCUUGGAUAAAUGAAUACU